CAGAGUUGUAAAACUCCCAAACCCAUGUGAACAUACCUGUUGCCUCGGCGGCCUACCCGGUAGCUACAGGGUAGCUGCCCUGUAGUCCGCCGACGGAUUUCAAAACUCUUGUUUUCAGUUGUAUCUCUGAGAAUAAAACAAAUAAAUCA
rnacentral:misc_RNA from 1 species